UUAAUUAAAUAUAUAAUCUAUUUUUUAACACGAAAUUGGAGGAGCUAAUUAUUAUAUAUUAUAGAUAGUAAGGUGUUGCAAAACUUGAGAAAUAAUAAUUAGGGGUGAUAGACUUAUCAAUUUCAAUGAUAGCUUGAUAAUCAAUAAAUGUAAAAAUACAGCGGCACUUCUAAAAUGAUAAGGUUUUAGAAGAUAGAUAAUAUACUUAAAUUUAACUAUGUUCUGUUUAAUCACUAAUAUAUUAAUAAUAUAUAAUAAAUUGAGUGCGUUUGUUUAAAGUAAUGAUUAAUAUAACUAAUAUAUACAUAUAUAAAUAAUGUUAAUAUUAGUAUACUAAAUAUAAAACAUGAACUCGGCAAUAAGCCCUUUAACUGUUUAUCAAAAACAUAGCUACAUGCAUUUACAUGUGGUAAUUUCUGCUCAAUGAAAUUUAAAUAGCCGCAGUACUUUGACUGUGCUAAGGUAGCGCAAUCAAUUGGCUUUUAAUUGGAGUCCUGUAUGAAAGAAAGUAUAAGGGGCUACUUUAUUUUUUGUAAUUAAAGAACUUACUUAAAAAGUGCAAAUUCUUUUAUAAAAAUAAUAGACGAGAAGACCCUAGAAAUUUUAUAGAGUAGGCUUUUUGUUGGGGCAACAAAGUAGCAAUAAUAAUCUACUUUAAAUACAUGAAAGACAUAUUUUGGAAGACUAAAUUACUCUAGGGAUAACAGCAUAAUUUAUAAAAGUUUGUGACCUCGAUGUUGGAUUAGGGUAUUACCAUUUAAAAG
rnacentral:rRNA from 1 species